rfam:Triticum aestivum genome assembly, contig: Triticum_aestivum_CS42_TGACv1_scaffold_470860_6AL
UAUCUACUCCCUCUGUUCGGAAUUACUUGUCGUAGAAAUGGAUGUAUCUAGUCAUUUUUUAGUUCUAGGUACAUCCAUUUUUGCGACAAGUAAUUCAGAACGGAGGGAGUAGCUA